rnacentral:lncRNA from 1 species
GUGUUGGGUGAAAUGAGUGGAUGUAGUGGUAGGUGAAUGUGUUGGGUGGUUGUAAUGAGUGGAUGUGUUGGGUGAAAUGAGUGGAUUUAGUGCUAGGUGAAUGGAUGUGUUGGGUGAAAUGAGUGGAUUUAGUGCUACGUGAAUGUGUUGGGUCGUUGUAAUGAGUGGAUAUGUUGGGUGAAAUGAGUGUGCUAAAAUGGUUAUUUAUAGGGAGAGGAUGAUGCACAAACUUCAAAUUUGGUCCAUUCCUUUUGCUCCAAGCAUAUGUUAUCCAUUCCAUGCCCAAAAAUGGUCCAAAAUGCACUUCUUUGCCACAUUAACCAUUUGGACCUAUAAGCACACGAAAAUAGCAUAAAAUACUAAAAUAACUACGAACUAACAACAUAAAUGCCAAGAAACAAGCUAACUACGUCGCAUAAAUAUGCUCCUAUCAAAUUCCCCCACACUUAGCUUUUGCUAGUCCUCGAGCAAAACAAAACAAACAAAACAAAACUAAACACAACCUAGACCUUCCAGCAAUUGCGUCAGGGAUUUUUAAUGAAACAUGACGUGUUAAAAAUCAUCAUUCCCGCAUAUUUUGGUCAUCCUUACACUUGAGCACAUACUUAAUCACAAUCACCACCUACUACUUCACAAUUAACCAAUUAAAACGAUGUUUUGAAUGUAGUAACAUGCCUUAGAGAAUU